AUACGUAGGGGGCGAGCGUUGUCCGGAAUGAUUGGGCGUAAAGGGCGCGUAGGCGGCCCGGUAAGUCUGGAGUGAAAGUCCUGUUUUUAAGAUGGGAAUUGCUUUGGAUACUGUCGGGCUUGAGUGCAGGAGAGGUAAGUGGAAUUCCCAGUGUAGCGGUGAAAUGCGUAGAGAUUGGGAGGAACACCAGUGGCGAAGGCGACUUACUGGACUGUAACUGACGCUGAGGCGCGAAAGUGUGGGGAGCAAACAGGAUUAGAUACCCUGGUAGUCCACACUGUAAACGAUGAAUGCUAGGUGUAGGGGGUAUCGACCCCUUCUGUGCCGCAGUCAACACAAUAAGCAUUCCGCCUGGGGAGUACGGCCGCAAGGUUGAGACUCAAAUGAAUUGGCGGGG
rnacentral:rRNA from 1 species